CGGACUCACAUCGACGAUGAUUCAGCUUCUCUUCACUGUGAUCGCAGCCCAAAUGGCUCUCAUUUUGACUCUCCUCUUCAGGACUCCUCUGAGGAAGCUUGUGAUCAUCACUUUGGAUCGUCUUAAGCGCGGAAAAGGCCCAAUCGUUGUUCAAACAAUCGCCGGAACUGUCUUCGUUGUUCUUCUUUCUAGCGUCUAUAGCAUGGUUAAGAUCCAGAAUCGGAUGAUUGAGGCUGGUGAGGUUAAUCCCACGGAUCAGGUCCUUAUGUCCAAUCACUUGCUUGAAG
rnacentral:misc_RNA from 1 species